rnacentral:rRNA from 1 species
AGUGAACGCUGGCGGUAGGCCUAACACAUGCAAGUCGAACGGCAGCACAGUAAGAGCUUGCUCUUACGGGUGGCGAGUGGCGGACGGGUGAGGAGUACAUCGGAAUCUACUUUUUCGUGGGGGAUAACGUAGGGACACUUACGCUACUACCGCAUACGACCUACGGGUGAGAGCAGGGGAGCUUCGGACCUUGCGCGAUUGAAUGAGCCGAUGUCGCAUUAGCUAGUUGGCGGGGUAAAGGCCCACCAAGGCGACGAUCCGUAGCUGAUCUGAGAGGAUGAUCGGCCACACUGGAACUGAGACACGGUCCAGACUCCUACGGGAGGCAGCAGUAGGGAAUAUUGGGCAAUGGGCGCAAGCCUGAUGCAGCCAUGCCGCGUGAGUGAAGAAGGUCUUCGGGUUGUAAAGCCCUGUUGUUAGGAAAGAAAAGCUGUAUAAGUAUACCCUGCUGUUCUGACGGUACCCAAAGAGUAAGCACCGGCUAACUUCGUG